UUUUCCCAGUAACAGAUAAGUGAUCUCACUCUCCUCGUCUUGACCCCUGAGCUUUUUCAUCUUGUUCACUCCCCCUGUCCUGUUGAGGAGGAGGAGUGAGAGAGCAGCCUGAUGGCUGUCUGGCAGCUGGCCGAGGUCAACCUGCCACAUACAUUUAGACUGAAAUUUUGGUUUAUGUAAGGCUGGGCAUUCUUUGUUUUAACCUGAGGUUGUUUUAGCAUUUUUUUGACUUUUAAUAUUUAACAAUACUUCAGUUAAAGUCAUCUCCACCAAAACGCUUAAACUUUACAGUUUUCCUUGCGAAUUGUACUCAGUCCAGGGUAUCUGAAUGGUAAAUAAGGAAGGACAGUCCAGUGGUUCUAGAAAUAGACAGACAUUUACAAGAAAUAAAACAUGGGCAAGUAUAAUACCGUAAAUUACUUAAGAAGAGCUUAAAAAUAGCAGGGACAGGAAAGAAUAGUUAAGAAUCAAGCUUCUGAUGAAAGAAAAAAAACACAGUUGCAAAGUGAGAAACUUAAACUAUGAGGAGCUAAUGUGAAAAGUAUUCAAAUAUCCCUGAAUCUUGUAAUUGCUGAUUUUUGCUUUCAUAGUUGAUGUCUGAGUUUCCAGAACUUCACUGACAGAAUAGAUGCUGCAGACUACUAGAAAGAGCUUGUACCCUAGUUCUUCAAUUUUGUACUUUUUUGGACAUGACAAACCAUACCCAUACAAAUGGCAUCGGGCAUUUAUGAAGUGAAUGUUGCUCAUCAUUGCUUGCUGAAUGUGUGACAGAGCUGGAGGGAGGAAGAACUUAGAUCUGACUCCUAACCCUAGGCCUGUUCAUUUGUAAGUCCAAAUCUGCUCCAUUUCAUAUGGUUUAUUUUGCUUGCAGAAGUGUGCCAUUAUUGUUUAAAAUAAUUUCUCAAUAUAUUGAGAAAUUAAUGAUAUAAUAAUUGAGAAAUUAAGAUAUUGAGAGGUUGUACAGAUGUGCAGGAGAGCAAGAUUUGAAUAUAAAAUAACUUUUGCUAAUUGGAUUAG
rnacentral:lncRNA from 1 species